UUUAAAUGGAGAGUUUGAUCCUGGCUCAGGAUGAACGCUGGCGGCGUGCUUAACACAUGCAAGUCGAACGAUUAACCCUUCUUCGGAAGGUCAUAAAGUGGCGAACGGGUGAGUAACACGUGACCAACCUGCCUCUCACAUUGGGAUAACUUAGAGAAAUCUAAGCUAAUACCAAAUACUCUUGAUCUGCCGCAUGACGGAUCAAGGAAAGCUUUCGCGGUGAGAGAUGGGGUCGCGGCCCAUUAGGUAGUUGGUGGGGUAGAGGCCUACCAAGCCGAUGAUGGGUAGCCGGGUUGAGAGACCGACCGGCCACAUUGGGACUGAGAUACGGCCCAGACUCCUACGGGAGGCAGCAGUGGGGAAUUUUGCGCAAUGGGCGAAAGCCUGACGCAGCAACGCCGCGUGCGGGAUGACGGCCUUCGGGUUGUAAACCGCUUUCAGUGGGAAAGAUAAUGACGGUACCCACACAAGAAGCUCCGGCUAAAUACGUGCCAGCAGCCGCGGUAAUACGUAUGGAGCAAGCGUUAUCCGGAUUUAUUGGGCGUAAAGCGCGCGUAGGCGGCUUGUUAAGCAAGGUCUUAAAUCUUGGGGCUCAACCUCAAGCCGGAUCUUGAACUGGCAGGCUCGAGUAUGGUAGAGGAAAGUGGAAUUCCCAGUGUAGCGGUGGAAUGCGCAGAUAUUGGGAAGAACACCGAUGGCGAAGGCAGCUUUCUGGGCCAUUACUGACGCUGAGGUGCGAAAGCUAGGGGAGCAAACAGGAUUAGAUACCCUGGUAGUCCUAGCCGUAAACGAUGGGCACUAGGUGUGGGGAGGAUAACCUUUCCGUGCCGCAGCUAACGCAUUAAGUGCCCCGCCUGGGGAGUACGGCCGCAAGGCUAAAACUCAAAGGAAUUGACGGGGGCCCGCACAAGCAGCGGAGCA
rnacentral:rRNA from 1 species